rnacentral:rRNA from 1 species
UUUAAUUCGAAGCAACGCGAAGAACCUUACCAGGUCUUGACAUACCAUUGACCGUUCUAGAGAUAGGAUUUUCCCUUCGGGGACAAUGGAUACAGGUGGUGCAUGGUUGUCGUCAGCUCGUGUCGUGAGAUGUUGGGUUAAGUCCCGCAACGAGCGCAACCCCUGUCGUUAGUUGCCAGCAUUCAGUUGGGGACUCUAACGAGACUGCCAGUGACAAACUGGAGGAAGGUGGGGAUGACGUCAAAUCAUCAUGCCCCUUAUGACCUGGGCUACCCACGUGCUACAAUGGUUGGUACAAAGAGAAGCGAAGCGGUGACGUGGAGCAAACCUCAUAAAGCCAAUCUCAGUUCGGAUUGUAGGCUGCAACUCGCCUACAUGAAGUUGGAAUCGCUAGUAAUCGUGAAUCAGAAUGUCG